CCUCGGCUCAGAUUGAACGCUGGCAGCAUGCCUUACACAUGCAAGUCGAACGGCAGCGGGCCUUCGGGUGCCGGCGAGUGGCGAACGGGUGAGUAAUGCAUCGGAACGUGCCAUUGAGUGGGGGAUAACGUAGCGAAAGUUACGCUAAUACCGCAUAUUCUGUGAGCAGGAAAGCAGGGGACCGCAAGGCCUUGCGCUCUUUGAGCGGCCGAUGUCAGAUUAGCUAGUUGGUGAGGUAAAGGCUUACCAAGGCGACGAUCUGUAGCGGGUCUGAGAGGAUGAUCCGCCACACUGGAACUGAGACACGGUCCAGACUCCUACGGGAGGCAGCAGUGGGGAAUUUUGGACAAUGGGCGCAAGCCUGAUCCAGCCAUGCCGCGUGAGUGAAGAAGGCCUUCGGGUUGUAAAGCUCUUUCGGCCGGGAAGAAAUCGCAUGGGUUAAUACCCUGUGUGGAUGACGGUACCGGCAUAAGAAGCACCGGCUAACUACGUG
rnacentral:rRNA from 1 species